rnacentral:lncRNA from 1 species
GGCAGAAGCAAAUUAAUAAAUGUUUUUGUGUAUAAACAUUUAUUAAAAUAAACGUUUUUGUGCUUUUCUGUGUGGAUAUGUUGGCUGAUACUAUUCUGAAUAUAAUUUCAAUCCAAAAAGAACACUUGCUGACAUUUAGUGGCAUAAUGGAGACGAGUUGGAGCAGAAUUUUGGACACCAUACUCCCUAAUUUUCUUACAGACACCUUUAUAAGUAUUCAUGGUGUGUAGAGUCAUGGGAUGUAUGUGCUAACGGAGGUGAGGGGUGGGGAUAAAAUAAAUUUUAGUUAGUAAAUUUUCCUGCAAUGCAGCCCAACAGAAAUGUGAUUCCAUCAUAUCCUGUAUGUCUCAAAGUGAAUUAGAAAUAUCGGUGUAAUAUUUGUUGCAUCAAUCAGGAUGUUUCAAAUUUUGCACAUUUGUUUCUUUCAUGGAGCCCUAACAAUGACUGCUUUUGCAGGCAGCUAUGAUGGUUGAGGAACUGAAGGAGGAACAGGAGGUCAGGGCUCAUUUGGAGAGGAGGCAGAAGAUCAUGAAGUGUCAUCUUUCAUCAAGGAAAGAAUGCCCACUGUUGCACAUCAUGGAACCCGAUCCCUUCCUUGUCUCGUAUGAGGAACAAACACUCGACUCUAGGGAAGGUCAAGCUGCUGGCCCGGCCUUGUUUUCGGCUCAUCUGUCAUGAUGCACAGACCACCAGGACCAUUUAAAGAAAGAGUUUAAAAAUAUAUUCAUCCCCACGAGACAAAACAUUGUCUUGAGACACAAAUCUAGUCACCUGUUCGCUCCAGAUUCCAGACUUGACAAAACAGUUGAGCCGCACUAACAAACCAGCCCCAGCCUUUUGUGCUGCAUGACCUAUGGCGGUCUUAAAACUCAGCAGCUGCUUGAGACACUACGAGAGGUGAUGGAUUGAGGUUGAAACCUUUCCUGGUGCCAGACUUCAACAGUUGACAGUGGGGGUUUGAUCUGAAGAUGAAGUUCUUUUGUGUGUGAAUGCUUCGCGUUUAGCGGCAUGAGCUAAAUGUCAGACAGUUAGUGCUUGACCUCCUCCAAUGACAGGGAGGGUCUCAAAUAUAGAAAUGAUUUAAAAAAAAAAAAGAUUGUCUGAAGGUCGACUGUCUUUUGUUUUUCUGGACAACACAGCAAAGUUAAUAGAGUGUCUUCAUAUUGUCAAACUAAAGCCUUUUCUUUCAUGUACUUGUAACAUCAUGUCAUUUUGAUGUAAAAGUUUAAAGUAAAGAAUGUUAACGGGAAUAUUUCUUUAAAUGUACCUGUAGAAUAAUAAUUUGAAUUGACACAUUCCUAUAAAUGGGACAUACCAUUAAUAAAUAUCAAUCAGCCCCUGUCCAGAUUCUGACCUGCAGCGUUCCAGAGGGCACAAAGUUUGAUAACGGAGUAAUGUAAUCCACAUUUUCAUGUUCUGGGUUCAGCCAGAGCAGAAAUGUCGGUGAAACAUUUAGACUAAAAAAAUUUGGUGACCAUCCAGCUGAUUGAAACUCAGAAAAAUCCGUCAAUACUCCAUGAUUUUUUAUUGGAGUGAAUCAAGAUUCAUUAUAAACAUACAUAAAAAACCUCUCUUUAGUCAUCCAGCUUUAAUUUUAUUUUGUUUUUUGGUUGAUUGUUAUUCUUUGACAAUUAGAAUAACCAACUGCAAAACCAGUUCCUGACAAUACGACCGUCAUUUGAUCCUAUAACAUAAAAAAAAAAAAAACAUGCCAACAAUUUUAAACAGAUUUGAUUAGUUAGAGCAGUGUAACCCCUGCUGUAACGGAUUUCUGUAAACUGGGUAGUAUUUUAAUACAAUGUCAGCAGUAAAUUAUCAUACAAUGGCUUUACAGUGUUUCACUGUAAACGCCAAUGAGUUAUGGGAAUUAUCAUUGUCACUGCUGUAAUUUCCAAGUUACUGUGAAUCAGAAUACCGUCAGAAAAACACCCACAAAAAUAUGGCGAAUAUGGACUUAGUUUAACCUGCUAUAUCUCUAAGUACAAAGACUGUUUAUUGUAAGUGAGUUCUAAACAUUGUUUACUGUCAUAAGAACAGGCAGAUGGAUUUUACCAAAUGCAGCAGGUUUUUUAGCUCAGCUAAAAGUCCACAAAGCUAAAUAAGGGCCAG